AGCGAACGCUGGCGGCGUGCUUAACACAUGCAAGUCGAGGGAGAACGGAGGGCUUCGGCCUUCUUAGUAAACCGGCGCACGGGUGAGUAACACGUAGGUAACCUACCUCCGAGUUCGGGAUAACCUGUCGAAAGAUAGGCUAAUACCGGAUAAGACCACGAUGGCUUCGGCCACUGCGGUCAAAGAUGGCCUCUAUUUAUACGCUAUCGCUUGGGGAUGGGCCUGCGCACCAUUAGCUAGUUGGUGAGGUAACGGCUCACCAAGGCUACGAUGGUUAGUUGGUCUGAGAGGAUGACCAGCCACACUGGGACUGAGACACGGCCCAGACUCCUACGGGAGGCAGCAGUGGGGAAUAUUGCGCAAUGGGGGAAACCCUGACGCAGCGACGCCGCGUGGGUGAUGAAGGCCUUCGGGUCGUAAAGCCCUGUCGGAGGGAGAAGGACUCUCGUGCAAAUAGUUCGAGGGUUUGACGGUACCCUUAGAGGAAGCACCGGCUAACUCCGUGCCAG
rnacentral:rRNA from 1 species